AUUGAACGCUGGCGGCAUGCCUUACACAUGCAAGUCGAACGGCAGCGGGGACUUCGGUCCGCCGGCGAGUGGCGAACGGGUGAGUAAUGUAUCGGAACGUACCAUUCAGUGGGGGAUAACUAUCCGAAAGGAUAGCUAAUACCGCAUAUUCUGUGAGCAGGAAAGCAGGGGAUCGCAAGACCUUGCGCUGAUUGAGCGGCCGAUAUCAGAUUAGCUAGUUGGUGGGGUAAAGGCUCACCAAGGCGACGAUCUGUAGCGGGUCUGAGAGGAUGAUCCGCCACACUGGAACUGAGACACGGUCCAGACUCCUACGGGAGGCAGCAGUGGGGAAUUUUGGACAAUGGGGGCAACCCUGAUCCAGCCAUGCCGCGUGAGUGAAGAAGGCCUUCGGGUUGUAAAGCUCUUUCGGCCGGGAAAAAGUCGCAUGGGUUAAUACUCUGUGUGGAUGAUGGUACCGGAAUAAGAAGCACCGGCUAACUACGUGCCAGCCGCCGCGGUAA
rnacentral:rRNA from 1 species